AUACGGAGGGUGCAAGCGUUGUUCGGAAUUAUUGGGCGUAAAGAGCAUGUAGGCGGACUGUUAAGUCUGGUGUGAAAGCCCGGGGCUCAACCCCGGAAGUGCAUUGGAUACUGGCAGUCUUGAGUAUGAGAGAGGAAAGUGGAAUUCCGAGUGUAGGAGUGAAAUCCGUAGAUAUUCGGAGGAACACCAGUGGCGAAGGCGGCUUUCUGGACCAAUACUGACGCUGAGAUGCGAAAGCGUGGGGAGCGAACAGGAUUAGAAACCCUAGUAGUCC
rnacentral:rRNA from 1 species